AUUGAACGCUGGCGGCAGGCCUAACACAUGCAAGUCGAGCGGCAGCGGGCCUUCGGGUGCCGGCGAGCGGCGGACGGGUGAGGAACGCGUGGGAAUCUGCCUAUAGGUGGGGGAUAGCCCGGAGAAAUCCGGAUUAAUACCGCAUAAUACCUGAGGGUUAAAACGGAGGAUCGCAAGACUUCGUGCCUAUAGAUGAGCCCACGUCAGAUUAGCUAGUUGGUAGGGUAAAGGCCUACCAAGGCGACGAUCUGUAGCUGGCCUGAGAGGGCGGCCAGCCACACUGGAACUGAGACACGGUCUAGACUCCUACGGGAGGCAGCAGUGGGGAAUAUUGGACAAUGGGCGCAAGCCUGAUCCAGCCAUGCCGCGUGUGUGAAGAAGGCCUUCGGGUUGUAAAGCACUUUAAGUUGGGAGGAAGGUUCGAUGGCUAAUAUCCAUCGGAAUUGACGUUACCAACAGAAUAAGCACCGGCUAAUUCCGUGCCAGCAGCCGCGGUAA
rnacentral:rRNA from 1 species